rnacentral:tRNA from 12 species
GGGCGCAUAGCUCAGCGGUAGAGCACACCCUUCACACGGGUGGGGUCGCAGGUUCAAUCCCUGCUGCGCCCACCA